UACGGAGGAUGCAAGCGUUCUCCGGAAUGAUUGGGCGUAAAGCGUCCGCAGGUGGCUAUGUAAGUCUGCUGUUAAAGAGUGAGGCUCAACCUCAUAAAAGCAGUGGAAACUACAUGGCUAGAGUGCGUUCGGGGCAGAGGGAAUUCCUGGUGUAGCGGUGAAAUGCGUAGAUAUCAGGAAGAACACCGGUGGCGAAAGCGCUCUGCUAGGCCGCAACUGACACUGAGGGACGAAAGCGAGGGGAGCGAACAGG
rnacentral:rRNA from 1 species